rnacentral:rRNA from 1 species
ACCGGCAGCUCAAGUGGUGGCCGUUUUUAUUGGGCCUAAAGCGUUCGUAGCCGGUUUGAUAAGUCUCUGGUGAAAUCCCGCAGCUCAACUGUGGGAAUUGCUGGAGAUACUAUCAGACUUGAGGUCGGGAGAGUUUAGAGGUACUCCCAGGGUAGGAGUGAAAACCUAUAACCCUGGAAGUACGACCUGUGGUGGAGGCGUCUAAUUAGAAAGAGCCUGAUCGUGAGUAUCGAUAGCCAGGGGUGGGAGCCG